rnacentral:rRNA from 1 species
AUUGAACGCUGGCGGAAUGCUUUACACAUGCAAGUCGAACGGCAGCACGGACUUCGGUCUGGUGGCGAGUGGCGAACGGGUGAGUAAUGUAUCGGAACGUGCCCAGUCGUGGGGGAUAACGUAGUGAAAAUUACGCUAAUACCGCAUACGAGCUAUGGAUGAAAGCGGGGGAUCGCAAGCCCUCGCGCGAUUGGAGCGGCCGAGAUCAGAUUAGGUAGUUGGUGGGGUAAAGGCCCACCAAGCCAACGAUCUGUAGCUGGUCUGGGAGGACGACCAGCCACACUGGAACUGAGACACGGUCCAGACUCCUACGGGAGGCAGCAGUGGGGAAUUUUGGACAAUGGGCGAAAGCCUGAUCCAGCCAUUCCGCGUGCAGGAUGAAGGCCCUCGGGUUGUAAACUGCUUUUGUACAGAACGAAAAGGUUUCUACUAAUACUAGGAGCUCAUGACGGUACUGUAAGAAUAAGCACCGGCUAACUACGUGCCAGCAGCCGCCGCCG